rnacentral:rRNA from 1 species
GACGAACGCUGGCGGCAUGCCUAAUACAUGCAAGUCGAGCGAACAGAUGAAGUGCUUGCACUUCUGACGUUAGCGGCGAACGGGUGAGUAACACGUAAGGAAUCUACCUAUAAGCGGGGGAUAACAUUCGGAAACGGGUGCUAAUACCGCAUAAUAUCUUCUUCCGCAUGGAAGAAGAUUGAAAGACGGCUCUGCUGUCACUUAUAGAUGACCUUGCGGUGCAUUAGUUAGUUGGUGGGGUAACGGCCUACCAAGACGAUGAUGCAUAGCCGACCUGGGAGGGUGAUCGGCCACAUUGGGACUGAGACACGGCCCAAACUCCUACGGGAGGCAGCAGUAGGGAAUCUUCCGCAAUGGGCGAAAGCCUGACGGAGCAAUGUCGCGUGAGUGAAGAAGGCCUUCGGGUCGUAAAACUCUGUUAUAAGAGAAGAACAAAUUGUAGAGUAACUGCUACAGUCUUGACGGUAUCCUAUCAGAAAGCCACGGCUAACUACGUGCCAGCAGCCGCGGUAA